UGGCUGUACAUUAUAAGUUGC
rnacentral:siRNA from 1 species